rnacentral:lncRNA from 1 species
AACUUGGCAAAACGAAUCUCCAGUUCAAUUUGGGCCAUCGGAUCAUCAUUAAAAUCAACAGUGUCUAUUUAUUAAUCGUAUUUGAUAUGGACUCUUUGCACUAAUCUAGACUGUUAGAUCUUCGUAAAAUCCAUGGUAUAUAUUCUUCUUCUUUUUUAAUUAAUGUGAAAAUUUCUAGACUCUCUCGGCGAACGUGGUAACUUCUUUUACCACUAUUGUAUUAAGAUAAUAGAUUUUCUAGGGGACUUGUUUCAAAAGGUUCUCCGUAACAUAAUAUGAAUCCAUGCACUUAAUAUACAUGUGCACACUCAUUCCUAGAAUAAUACACACCCUACUGCCAUGAGCCUAUGACACCUAUGAGAAACUAGGCUGACAGAUCUUAAGAUUAAGAAAGUAAGUACAGGCAACUCAAUAUCCACGACCAUACCACCCACCAGUAGAAGAACAAAAAUAC